rnacentral:rRNA from 1 species
AUUGAACGCUGGCGGCAUGCUUUACACAUGCAAGUCGAACGGCAGCACGGGUGCUUGCACCUGGUGGCGAGUGGCGAACGGGUGAGUAAUACAUCGGAACGUACCUUAUCGUGGGGGAUAACGCAGCGAAAGUUGCGCUAAUACCGCAUACGCCCUGAGGGGGAAAGCGGGGGACCGUAAGGCCUCGCGCGAUUAGAGCGGCCGAUGUCUGAUUAGCUUGUUGGUGAGGUAAAAGCUCACCAAGGCGAUGAUCAGUAGCUGGUCUGAGAGGACGAUCAGCCACACUGGGACUGAGACACGGCCCAGACUCCUACGGGAGGCAGCAGUGGGGAAUUUUGGACAAUGGGGGCAACCCUGAUCCAGCAAUGCCGCGUGAGUGAAGAAGGCCUUCGGGUUGUAAAGCUCUUUUGUCAGGGAAGAAACAGCAGCUCUAACACAGACUGCGAAUGACGGUACCUGAAGAAUAAGCACCGGCUAACUACGUGCCAGCAGCCGCGGUAAUACGUAGGGUGCGAGCGUUAAUCGGAAUUACUGGGCGUAAAGCGUGCGCAGGCGGUUAUACAAGACAGGCGUGAAAUCCCCGGGCUUAACCUGGGAAUGGCGUCUGUGACUGUAUAGCUAGAGUGUGUCAGAGGGGGGUGGAAUUCCACGUGUAGCA